AUUGAACGCUGGCGGCAGGCCUAACAAAUGCAAGUCGAACGAGUGGCGGACGGGUGAGUAAUGUCUGGGAAACUGCCCGAUGGAGGGGGAUAACUACUGGAAACGGUAGCUAAUAACGCAUACUAUCGGAUGAACCCAUCUGGGAUUAGCUCGUAGGUGGGGUAAAGGCUCACCUAGGCGACGAGCUCUAGCUGGUCUGAGAGGAUGAUCAUCCACACUGGGACUGAGACACGGCCCAGACUCCUACGGGAGGUAGUAGUGUGGAAUAUUGCACAAUGGGCGCAAGCAUGAUGCAGCCAUGCCGCGUGUAUGAAGAAGGCCUUAGGGUUGUAAAGUACUUUCAGCGGUGAGGCGUUACCCGCAGAAGAAGCACCGGCUAACGCCGGGCCAGCAGCCGCGGUAAUAC
rnacentral:rRNA from 1 species